AUUCAAUGCAUUCGGAAAUGUUACAUGUAUAUCAUCAGUGACUAGUAGGGAACCUCUAAUUGGAGAAAUCUCUGAUCUUUCCCUUGGAAGCACAACUGGUGGGACUACAGUGUAAAAUUCUGGCAGUGGCUUUAGUUUUUCAUGUCUAGCAAAAGAUGCCUCUAUUGGUGGGAUCAAGCGCUCGAUGCCAUCCCCCUCAUUUUCUGGAUGUUGGAAUACUGAAAUUGCUGUGCCGUGUAAAGAGCCUUGUGCAGUUGUCGAACUAGGAUUGUGGUCUAUAUUGUCAAUUGCAGCAGUUGUAAAAAGAUUUUUUCUAAGCUUAGCAGGACAAACUACAUUUUCAAUAUUGAAAGAUUCGCAGAUGGAAUUUCCCAGUGAUGCUGAUAAUUGCAUUAUUCUGUCAUAAGAAAUGGAUAAGCCUAAAUCAUACAGCUUUUCAACAAGCCCUCUUUUUCUUGUUUCAGCAUGUAUUAGCAAGCCUAAAUAUGUUGGCAAUGGAGGCUCUCGGUCAGUUGCAUGUGAUGAAUAAAUUGCAGAAUCUUUUCUCCUGCGAACAGAUGAAUUAAAUUGGAUCAAUUGUGCAAUCGUUAGAGUACACUGAGCUUCAAUAAAAUUUGAGGACUGCAUCUCAAUACUUGGCCUACCUAAAAUCAUGCCUACAAGUGUUUUUAAAGAUUGUGGAACAGAAUUCUUUUGACAAUCAGUUUCAAAGAACCCUUUGAAGGAAUACUUUGUUUGCAUCAUUUCCUUCCGAACAAUUUUUGCAGCUUUUGCAAGAAUUAAAGCAUCGUCAUCAUAGUGAUUUGUAAUUGCCUGUCGAAUAGCAUUCCCAACAUCUUCAUUUUGCAUGAGUAAAACAUCCCGUCCUUGUUUGUGGGCUUGUAAAUCUGGUAUUGCUGCUAGGAUUCUGUCUUUUACAUGUGUUGAGUUGGGUCUUUUAUUCAUGUCGAGACCAAAUUGCUCUAAACGAUUACUGUAUAUUGCCAUGAGAUCUGCCAGCCCAAAUACAGCAGCUACACCUUUGUUCAUUCGUGAAUCCUCUACAUAUGAUACAAGUUCAGCCAAAACUAUUCCAUGGAUUUGAUUUUCGCCAUUCUCAUCUACAAUCUUUUGUGGUCUUGCUUUGUUAAAAAGAUUUAAGUAGCAGUUUUUGUGAUACAUAGCUUCUUGAGAUAUCAUAUCCCCUGCGCUAAGUUUCGCCAACAAUACAGUAUCCUGCACUUGCAAUGCAUAUUUCCUGAUAUUACUGUCUAUACUGAAGGUAGAAACUUUGUGAAGCUCUCCUGAUGUUCCACCACAGAGAAAACAAUCUUGAGUCAUUGUCGAUGUCGAGCAACCAGGACUUUGGCGAGUUAUCUUUCUUGAUGUUUCAGAAAUGUCUGAUUCAACUUUUCUUUUCGAAUGUUCAUGUCGUUUUAAUUUCAUGUCUGUGUAUUUGUUCCUACAUGUUUUGUGCCACUUGGCUUUCAUCAACUGUAACUUGGAUGCAAUACCAUUUGCAUCAUUCAAUUGGUCAAGUCUAAUUGUCGUUGGAAACCAAUUUAUACUUUGACAUCGAAGGAGCACUGUUUCCAGAGAUCUAUAUCCAGCACCAACUUCAAUAUCAGAUCUCCUUAUAUUUGCUGGACAUUGCAGAACUUCAGAUGUGCUCUCUUGGCAUAAAAUACAUUUUUCCCAUUCAAAUAUUAUUGUUAAAUUUGACGAUGAAGACUCAAUGUCUGGAUUUACGAUUUUAAUGUGUUUGGACAUUUCUUAUCAAAAGAUAACUUUACUUCAUUUCCUCAAUCACUUGCCAAGCAAGAUCUACAAUAUAUUAUAAAGGUUAUAUAAACUCGAUUGUUUUGGUCAAAUUGACUGAAAUAAGAUGACAAUAUUUCAAAACUUACACGCAUCUUAGAUGAAUAGCCUACCAUAUUUAGCUACUUCAAAAAAAUUCUAUAACUGUUACCGAAAUGGUGUUUCAUACUUUUUUAGGGGAUGGAACAUUUGUUAUCUAUUUAACAUUUGUUCUUUAACUGUUUAUGUUUAUGUAAGUGUUUUUUAUGUGAUAUUAUACUUGUUUAAGUGUAAAUGUACAUCACCUAUUCAGAAAAUUAUAAAUAAAUUAUCAAAACA
rnacentral:sRNA from 1 species